CACGUAUACUUUAAUCUCCUUUUGCAUCAUGUUGUGAAAUAGGGCCAUCAUGGCCCUUUGGUAGGUGGAUCCAACAUUCUUUAACCUAAAUAUCAUGACUUUGUAGCAAAAGGUUCCCUAUGGUGUUACAAAGGUUAUCUUUUCCUUAUCCUAUUGUGCCAUUUUCAUUUGUUUGUAGCCCGAAAAUCCAUCCAUAGAGUAAUAUGGAUCGACCAACACAUCUAUAUGUGGUAGAGGAAAAUUAUCCUUAGAACUAAACCGGUUUAAGUCCCUAAAGUCCAAAUAUUGAUUUUAUCCUUUUUUUUUGGCACGACAACUAUGUUGGACACCUAUUGUGGAUACUUGACUAUUUUUAGAAAAUCGGUGUUCCACUGCUUUUUAAUUUUUGCCUUUAUUCGAAUUGGUCCUUCUCAACCUUUGCUUAACCGACUUGCAUCCUUCUACUAGUGGUAUCCUAUACAAACCAGGCAUAUCCUUGUAGGACUAGAAAAAAAAUCUACAUAAUCUUGGAGUAGUGCAAUUAACUUUUCUCCUUCUUUUAGAGGUGAUCAAAGUCCCUAUCUUCAACUCUCUCUUGAUUUUUUCAUUGCCCACAUCUAUGGUUUCAAAUUCCUCUUUAGCGGGUUUCCAAGCUUGUUCAUGUUGUUCUUAUUAAUUUUUAUGAAUCCCCUAAUGUUAUUUCCCUCUCAUUCUUCUUCUUCUACAACUAAUAUGUAUUCUUUAAAGUUCGGCCAUUCAUUCUAAGUGUAAAGUGCAGGUGUUGUUAUGAAAGAUCCGCUUUGAAAACGGAAAGUGAUGUGUAAAAACAUCAAGAUGAACUUUUAAAAAUGCAUGAUCUCAUUAAAAGGAAAAGUUUGGCUAAAAAAAAAAAACAAGGAUAAAAUCCAAUUGACAUUUGGAAACUCGAUUUAAAAAGCUGAAAAAGGCAAACAAUAUAAUAUCAUGAUCAAACAAGCAUUGUUGAUUAAAUUUUGAACACCAAUGGAGCUUCUUGGGUCUCCCAAUUCUGGAACAUCUCUCCUUUGGCUAGCUUUUGAAUGAAGGUCUUGAGAUUCAAGAUGUUUUGAGCUUAGGCUUGUUUGGAUGCAAAAUGAUAUUGUGGAGCAUACAUCCUAAGGAUAGGUUCUAGUUCCUUUAUGUGAGACAUAGGGUAGGUUUACUACUUGGUCUCUAAAAAGAGUCUCUUGCUGUCCUAGUGAUCACCCUCGUAAAGGCAAUAUAGGGGUUCAGCAGAUAGUGGGAUGACACAUGUACCAAUCACUAUCAGUCUAAACACUCAGCAAAGAGUUGGGGUUUACACAAACUUAAACCUUGACUCAAGUCAUAAGGCAAGCUGCUAGUCCCCCACUUAACUUAAAGUUUAAUGUGUGUGCUCUCCAAAAAGAAAAUAAUAGUAAAGUGAUGAAUGACUACAUCAUGUAUGACAGAAUGUAAAGAUGUAUGCUAAAGCUUUUAAACAAAUUAUCAUUCAUAGUAAAAAAACAACAACACAUAGCAUAAUAACAAAAACAAUUACCAAGCUUAGUCCAAGGAUCCCCAGUGGAGUCGCCAUCCUGUUGCACGUCCCCCGCGCGGCGUCUGAUGGCGAUUUUUUGUUUGAUUUCAAGUUUAUUUGUUUUUGUGACUAAAGGAGUCGCCACCUAGUAUUAUGGUCACUAGGAAACCUAACUGGUCUUUCAGAGAUUCUAAGGCAAGGGACUGGUUGCGUAAAGGGAAGGUAUUAGCACCCCUAGUACGCCCUACCUAAGGUAAGCUGCUUGGUGUUUGGUUUGCCUUAUAAUAGCUAUGGUGUUGGUGUUUUCUAAUGUCAUUGCUAACGUCAGCAUUUGAACAUAUUUUCAUCAUGAAAGUUCUAGGAAAUUAUCUAAGCUUUCCAAAAAAAAAAAAACAAUCGGUGCAUUUAAACUUCUAGAACUCGAGAUAUGGGCUGAACACUGAACAAUGUCUGGGCUGCAGGACAAAUUUCGACUUCUCCUUUGUUGCUACAAUUUGAACUUGAAAAUGACCUUUUAAAAUCUUGCACUCCUAUAAAAGUUUUAGGCCUAUGUCUUAGCUUUCUAGCCAUGUAAACCAAACUGAAAUCCAAGAUCUACAGCUCCAGAUAUGACCCAAUGACUGAACAGUGUUCCAGUUUGGACUAAACCAGCAUCUCUUUUCUAAGCUUAACCCUCUCUGUCUUCUCAAUUUCAGUAGUUAAAAUCAUCAAUCAAUCCUUUCAUUUAUGUGAUAGGCCUGCAUUUAAGAUGAACAUUUACCAUAAAUUAAAGUUAUCUUAUAGUAUUAGACAUGAUAUUAUAAAACAUGCUCUAGUUAAGGAGUUAUUGAUACUUCAAGUGCAAAAUGAUGAUAUAAAACCUUGAUAAAAAUGCACUUUUAAGUGCUAAUAAAAAAUGCAAGAACAUGUUUCUGCAUGUAUUUCGGGAUUUAAUAGUUGAUUUAUUAAAGAUUUAAGAAUUUGGUUCAUAUUUUACUUUUUUUAAAUCACAUCAAAUCACAAAUUAAGCAGCUUACCUCAAGUAGGAUGCGCUAGGGGUGCUAAUACCUUCCCUAGUCACAACCAGUCCCUUACCUUCGAAUCUCUGACAACGACCAGUACAUCCGGGUUUCCUAAUAACCCUCAAUCAAAUACUAGGUGGCGACUUCCAAAUCAAGUAAAAGAACAAAAAUCGCCAUCGAUGCCGCACGAGGGACGUGCGACAUGCUUCAUACCAAAAAUCAUGCAACCUACUUCCACAGUGACAAAUUAGAUUUUAAAACAUAAUGUUUUUUUUAAAAAAAAUAUCGUAUUUUUUUCGGUGUCAUACCUAGUUGCUGAGUGAUUUUCCCAUACCCUCCUCACAACAUUGUCAAGCGCAGUGUCUCAAUCGAAUUUGUCCUGUGUAUAAACAAUUUAUUUAAAAUAAAAAUAAUAAUUUAUUUACAAUUAUAAUAAUAAUUUAUUAAAAAUAAGCUGGAAAUUAGAAAUUAACACCAACCUUAAAUUUGUCAAACCAUGCAUCGAUAUAAGGUCUCCAUUCAGGAUGUCUGGAAACCUGACUCCAUUGAAAUAAUGGAAUCUCCAUCGACGAUUUAAACGCCGAUAAUAUUAGUCGGGCGGCCUCAAUGUUUGUGAACCUGAAAAUAAAUUAAAUUAAUGAAAUAUUAAUUAGUUAUUCAUAAAUUAUGUUAUAAUUAAAAAAAAACUAAAACCAAAACAAACUUACAUUGAAAGGUCGUUCUUCCAAUGUGCCUCGUACUUGCGAGUGAAUUGAUUCCGCUGUGAAGGCACAUCUCCUCUGCGCUGUGAAAUCGUGCUGGGAGAGGUAGCAUCGUGAGUCGGCGUAGGUGCCUCUUCUUGAUUGUUACCUAAGGACAUGUCAUCCUCACUACUAGAAGAACUAGUUGCGACCAUAUGUGAGCGACAAGCUGUUGAUUUCAUUCUACGCGUCUAAACAAUUUUAUACGAAUAAUUACAUAAUUAAAUUCAAUUGUUAAAAAAAAUUCGGCAGCACCUCCCCUAUACUGGAGACUACCCAAAGUUUUCAAACCUGCAAAUAUUGACAAUAGCCACAACCAAUUGACCCCAUUCAAAAAUCUUAUAUAUAACAUAACAUCUAUACAAAUAACAAUUAAAAUUAAUGGAAAUAAUUAAACACAUAUCAUGCAAUAAUAGAGUAAAAUUAAAAUUUAUUUCUAUAUAUUCAAUUACUAAUUACAAGGUAAAUUCAACAAUAACAAUUAAAAUUCAACAAAGUAUUCAAUUAUUAUGGCAAUACAAACAAUAAAAUAUAUUCAACAAAUUACAAAAAAAAACUAUAGACUUUAGGAAUGAAAAAUGCUUACCUUAAUAAUGUGUUUAUUUCAAGACUUUAUCUACAUUAUAAAAAUACACCAAAACAAAAAACACAAUAAAAAUAACAAUAAUUAAAAAAAAUAAAAUAUAAAAAAAUAAAAUCAUUAAGUAUAUUAAAUGAAAAUACAUACUUUUUAAUUUUUUGAAGAUAUAACUAGAGAUUCCAAGAAAAAUCAAGAGAUUUAAAGCAAAUGAGUUGAUAGCUAACUCUACAUUUACUGAGUCCAAUAUGUGAACCUUGAGAGGUAAUAAAGGUCAUGCCCUAUUAAAUGAAAGACUUGACACGGUUUUCUGUCUUUUCUAUGCCCAGCAAACAGCUCUGUUAGAUGAUUUGAUACAUCAUGAAAUGAAUUGAUUUUGUGACGUUCUCAGAAAAAUAACAAUGUAUAUGAUUGAACCCAUGGAAUCUUUAAAAUUUAAGGUCAAGUCUAUGUUCAUGUUCAGCAUCUUUUGUUAAUCUUUUGCAUUUAAUAAAAGCUAAAGCAUCAGUAUGAAGGCCAAAAGCUGAUAGCUUACCCUCCAUUUCUUGGGUCCAAUCAGAAAGUGAACAUUGAGAAGAAAUAAUGCAUCUUUAAAAUUUAUGGUCAAGUCUUUGUUAAUGUUCAGCACUAAACCAUAUUAGCAAUGUAAUAAUAAUUUUAUUUUAAUCAUAUAACAAUACAAUACGGAACAGUUGAUUGAUUUUACUUAGAAUAUAACACAACAAAUCAUAGUAUAGCAAUGCGUACCUUAACCACACAUAUAAUCAAGAAUCAUGUUUGGAGAAACCAUCUAGUAGGUGACCCAGUGGUAAUAGCUUGGGACCAAGAAGUUUGCUUUCCCUGUGGUCUCAGAUUCGAGUCCUGUGGUUGCUAAUAUGAUGGCCACUGGAGGUUUACAUGGUCGUUAACUUCAGGGCCCGUGAGAUUAGUCGAGGUGCGGGCAAGCUGGCCCGGACAUCCAUGUUAAUAAAAAAAAAAAAGAAUCAUGUUUGGGGAACCUUGAGCGGUGUAACUCAACUGGUCAGGCUCUAAGUUUGUUCCCCAAAGGUCACCAGUUCGAGUCCCACAAACCUCAGGGCCACUGGAGGCUUAUAUGGUCGUUAACUUUAAGGUCCGUGGGAUUAGUCGAAGUAUACACAAGUUAGCUCGAACACCCACAUUAAUCUAAAAAAAAAUCUCAUAUUUAAAUAGCUUCCCAAUAAUCACGAGUUUAUAUCUCUCUCAUGAUCACGUUACGUUAUUUUGAGAGCUUAAUUAUCUUCUAAAAAGUACUUUUAUCAAAGUAGAAAACGUACAAUCAACACGUUUUAUUUUCAACAAAAACAGUCAUUGAUUGAUAUUCAAGUACUCGCAAAAUAAAUUAGGUGGUGUGCUGCUUCAAUCAAAAGAUUUGAAUAAUUUUCAUAAUUUUUUAAUAAUUAAUAACGUGUAAGUUUAAGAUUAAAUUCACUAUUGUAUUUUAAUUUUUUUUAUUAUCAUGAAUUAAUUAUUUGAAUUUGAUUAGUUACUAAGUUGUGCAUAAAUAAUGUUUUUAAAAUGCUAAAAUCAUAUUUUGAUUAUUCCAACGAUUUAGAAAGGUUUAUUCACUUUAAUUGAUAUUAAAAUUUAUCUUCAUUUUUUUAUUAUUUUAAAGUAUUAUAAAUUUUAUCAAUUUUAAUUUACAUUGAGAAAAUAUAAUUUGUAAUUAAAACAAGAUUCUAAUAAUAUUUUAUUAAUUAAACAUGAUUUGUUUUUUAUAUAUUUUCAAUACUGAACCCUUAGGCUAUGUUGUAUAACAUCAUAAUUUAAAUAAUCUUUAAAAAUUAAAUAAGUGACAAAUUCAUAUAUAAUUUUUGAUAAUGAAAGAUCAAUAAAGUAAAAAACCAUAAUGAAUCUACAAAGUCAACGAAGAUAAAUUUUUAAAUAAUCAUCUCAAUCUAAAAAUUUAAAUUGUUAGAUGAGGUUUUAAAAUAAAAUUUACAUUAUUUUCGAACAUAUUACCUUAAAUAAAAGUCUUGUGUGUUUGAUACUUUUACAUAUUCAUAUUACUCUGUACUAUUAAUUAAAAAUAUAAAUAAGAUGGUAAUUGAAGACUGCUUCUGCUAAGAUGAAAGGAAAACAUAAAUAACGUGGUAAUUAUAAUUGAAAACAUGAAACAGUAUAUAUAGAAAUCACGUAAUAUCAACGAGGUCUCUAAUUUCCAGGGCCAUAAUUCUUAAGUACCAGUACAUGUUUUUCCUUCAAUAUUUACUAGGAAGAUUUAAAUCAAAAGGAGGAUCAAGGGAAACAAACCAAUGAAAAAAGAAAAAGAAUCAAUAGAUAUGGAAACAUGGCAAAACACAAGAUAUAUAUAUUGACCAUCCGGUACUCAUGUACAGCCACAACUUGAGAUAUUGUAGGCCUGAGAGAAGGUGAUUGAUCGGUGCACAAGAUAUGGUUUUUUUUUUUUCUUUCCUGUUAAGAUAGUUAUAUUUUAAUAUGAUAAUCUCCUUAUCAAAAAUAAUUUUUCUUAAACCUUAAAUAUAUAUUUUUUGAGCUUUAAAAUGAUUAUAUUUUAACUUGAUGAGAUAAUAAUCUCCUUAAUGAAAAGAACUUUUCUCGAACCUUAAAUAGAUUAACGAAUAGAAACACGACUUAGAACAAACAAUAAAGCAGAUUACCAUAAAUAAAGUGCACUCAGAGUUAUAUGUCUUCCAUUUACACAAUUAAUCCCUCUACCUAGACUCUCAUAGACCAUUAGGUUUUCUAGUAACUAUAAUACUGAGGACUCCCUUUUCUUUUCUUUUUUUGUUGAUAAAAGAUAAGAAUUCCUUAUACUUUCCACACUAAUUACCCAUUACAAAUUGUUCUUAUCAAAGAAUCACUAUAAACUUAAAAGUUUAAAGUUUUAAUAAUAAUUUUAUAUUAUUAGAUAAUACAUCUUUUCAAGUGAACAUUUAAUUUAAUUUUGUUUGGUAUUAAAUAUUUUGAUCGAAUUGAUUUUUAAACAAAUAAUUAUAAUAAUGUUAAUGAUUGCAACCAUGGAGUCUGAAGUAAUAAUGCAUCAUUAAAAUUUAUGAUCAAGUCUUUGUUCAUGUUCAGCAUCUUUUGUUUCCAUUAUGUCGAUCUUUUGCUUUCAUGAUGUCGAUCUUUUGCACUGUCGAGAAGAGAAAGAUUAAUAAGGCUAAAGCAUCAGUAUGAAGGCCAAAAGCUGAUAGCAUACCCUCCAUUUCUUGGGUCCAAUGAAGAGAACAGUGAGAACUAAUAACGCAUCUUUAAAAUUUAAGAUCAAGUCUUUGUUCAUGUUCAGCAUCUUUUUUUUUGGAUAAUUCAUGUUCAGCAUCUUUUGUUUCCAUUAUGUCGAUCUUUUGUAUUGUCGAGCAGAGAAAGAUUAAUAAAGCUAAAGCAUCAGUAUGAAGGCCACAAGCUGAUAGCUUACAUUUCUUGGGUCCAAUGAUGUGAACAUUGAGAAGUAAUAAUGCAUCUUUAAAAUUUAAGAUCAAGUCUUUGUUCAUGUAUCGCGUAAAAUUUAAGGUCAAGUUUUAAAAUUUUUAUUGAAAGGGUUUCUUUAGGAAGCUGAAGCUGAGUUUGUGGUUGCAAAUCUUGAAGAACAACCCCCCCCCCCCCCCCCCCAAUAAAUAAGCAAAUGACUUCAUUCCCAAUGCUUAUAAACUUUUAGCUAGUUAUAGUCGUAAAGAUGUUGAUAUAUUAACCAAGUAUUGUGAUAUGACUCAAAUUAAAGGUAUACAAGUUUCUAUAAAAACCAAAAAGGCUCGGAAAACAUAACACACAUCAAGGCUGCAGAGAAAGGCAAGCCUGCAGAAGAACCAACGUCUAUAGAAGACUAGAGAUCAGCCAUUCUGUUUUUAUUCUGUUUUCUCUGUAUAUAUGUAAUUGCAGUUACAAAAUUAGUUAUAACUGUUAAGUUAGUUGAGAAAGUUAGUUAUAAUAUGUGUAUAAAUAUGUAUUCAUGUACUCUGAGAAAGAUAAGAAAAAUAUAUAGAAAAAUGCUGCAUGCAGAUUCUUCAAACGUAUAGUUCCUUCCAAGAAUUCAUUCCCUUCUGUUUUCUAUUUUCUACCUUUUUCACAUUCCUUGCCCAGAUUUCUACAUCAUAGACCAUGGAUGACUUCCUUACAUCUCUAGAGCAAGGGGAUGGGGAUGAUGACGAAGACUCGGUUGAUGUGGACAUCUAUGGUGAUGGGGAAGAAGAUGUUGCAGAUUAUCGUACGUGUGCGGGGUCAUAGUGAAAUGCAUCCAUUACACAUUGCUAUUGUCAAGCAGAGAAAAAUUAAAGUUAGCCUACACCUCUAACAGCUUUAGUUUAGGAUCAUCUUGGUAUGCUUCUUUAUUAUAUGUAUGAAUAACUUAUUAUCCAUUACACAUUACUAUUAUCAAAGAAUUACUAUAAACUUAAAAGUUUAACGUUUUAAUAAUAAUUUUAUAUUAAUUACUAAUACAUCUUUUGAAGUAAACAUUUAAUUUAAUUUUGUUUUAUAUUAAAUUUGAUUGACAUUGACAAAAUUUAUGGUCAAGUCUCCGUGUUCAGAAUCAUUUUUUUGCCUCGUCAAGCAGAGAAAGAUUAAUAAAAGCUAAAGCAUCAGUACGAAGGCCACAAGCUACAUUUCUUGGGUCCAAACGGAAUGUGAACAUUGAGAAGUAAUAAAGGUAAUGCCUUAUUAAAUGAAAGACUUUACAUGGUUUUGUGUCUUUUCUAUGCCCAGCUAGCGGCUCUGCUAAAUGAUUUGAUACGUCAUGAAAUGAAUUGAUUUUGUGACGUUAUCAGAAAAAUAAUAAUGUAUAUGAUUGAACCCAUGGAAUCUUUAAAAUUUAAGGUCAAGUCUUUGUUCAUGUAAUUCAGCAUCUUUUGUUAAUCUUUUGCAUUUAAUAAAGCUAAAGCAUCAGUAUGAAGGCCAAAAGCUGAUAGCUUACCCUCCAUUUCUUGGGUCCAAUCAGAAAGUGAACAUUGAGAAGUAAAAAUGCACUUUAAAAUUUAUGGUCAAGUCUUUGUUCACGUAAUUCAGCUUCUUUUGUUAACAUUAUGUCGAUCUUUUGCAUUGUCAAGCAGAUAAAAAUUAAUAAAGCUAAAGCACCACCACAAGUUGAUAGAUUACUUUGUUUGAUUGGUAAUGUACUUAGGUGUUGUUUAAACUAUAUUUUAUUUUAAACAAAAAUUAAUAUAGCCUUCUGCGCUUGUAAUAGCUCAACCAUUUUGUAUUCAGAAUAUAUUAUUUAUGCUAUUCUCACAUGAAAUGUCUUGGCUGUGAAAUUUUUUAAAAUAGAACAAUAUACAGUUAGAGUAAAAUUGUGUACAUUAUAAUAUUUGAACAGCAUAUUUUCAUGAUUAUUAUACAAUCGUUAAGGAACACGGUUUUUAAGAUGGAAAGGAGAUCAUUUUAUUAAUUAGCAAUGCAAUAAUAGUUUUUUCAACAAUAUAAAAGUUCACAAAUUACAGUAGGUGCCAAAAGAUUAUAAAUCCAAAUUUCUCUGCAAGUUCCUGCUGCUCCUACUGUCCCGUAGUCCUCACUGGAUUGCUUUUGUUGUUUUGCAACUCAAUAAUCAAACAUAUCAUGUUAUGUUAAGAUAGAGGAGAUGAACCAUUUACAUUUACCCAAUUGCUGGUAAAGAGCAUUCUGUCAAGUAAUAAUUUGUGUUCAUGUUAAGCAUCUUUUGUUUCCAUUGUCGCGUAAUAAUAAUAACCACCGUCAGUCCAGGUAAAGAGCAUUCUGUCGAGUAAUAAUUAAAAAUUUACUUGAUUUUCUUUUAAAUUUCAAAAAAUUCAAAAAAAAAUUAAAAAACAUUUAUUUCAAAAAUACAAAAAUAUUUUUUUUCCCGUGCAUAUGGUUAGAUUUUAAAAUUUGCAUGCAUGCUUUUAUACGGAAAAAAAAAUUACAUCUUCAUCGUACUUUAAAAAAUCAUUUAAUGGAUAUCACAACAAGUUUACAAAUAUCCAUUAUGAUUUAACUAAAAUUUCAAAUAAAAACCUUUUUUAUUUUCUUUCAUAUUAGGAUAGAAUAAAAACCUUUUUUAUUUUCUUUCAUAUUAGGAUAGUUAGGCUUUAAAAUGGUUAUGUUUCAACUUGAUGAGAUAAAGAUCUUCUUAAUAAGAAGAACUUUUCUCUAAAUCUUGAAAAGAUUAACGAAUAAAAACACGAUUUAGAACAAAUAACAAAGCAACUUACUAUAAGUAAGGUGAAGUAGGAGAGAUGCAUCUUUCAUUUACACAAUCAAUCCCCUUACCUAGACUCUCAUAGACCAUUAGGUUUUAUAGUAACCAUAAUAUUAGGUUGUGACUAUUUUUUUAUUUUAUUUUAUUGAUAAAAGAUAAAAAUUCCUUGUACUUUCUGCACUAAUUACCCAUUACACAUUGCUAUUUUUAAAGAAUCACUAUAAACUUAAAAGUUUAAAGUUUUAAUAAUAAUUUUAUAUUAUUGGAUAAUGCAUCUUUUCAAGUGAACAUUUAAUUUAAUUUUGUUUUGUAUUAAAUUUUUUUAUUGGAUUGAUUUUUUAACAUUAACAAAAUAAUAAUAAUAAUGUAAAUGAUUGGAACCAUGGAAUCUGAAGUAAUAAUGCAUCUUUAAAAUUUAUGGUCAAGUCUUUGUUCGUGUUCAGCAUCUUUUGUUUCCAAUCUGUCGAUCUUUUGCUUUCAUUAUGUUGAUCUUUUCCAUUGUCGAGCAGAGAAAGAUUAAUAAAGCUAAAGCAUCAGUAUGAAGGCCAAAAGCUGAUAGCUUACCCUCCAUUUCUUGGGUCCAAUCAGAAAGUGAACAUUGAGAAGAAAUAAUGCAAGUCUUUGUCUAUGUUCAGCACAAAAACCAUUAAUUAGCAAUGUAAUAAUAAUUUUAUUUUAAUCAUAUAACAAUACAUUACGGAACAGUUGAUUGAUUUUACUUACAAUAUAACACAACAAAUCAUAGAGUAUAGUGUAGCAACGUGUACUUAGUUAACCACAUAUACAAUCAAGAAUCAUGUUUGGUUAACCAUCUAGGUGGUGGCCCAGUGGUAAGAGCUUGGGAUCAAGAGGUUCGCUCCCUCUGUGGUCUCAGGUUCGAGCCCUGUGGUUGCUCAUUGAUGACCACUGGAGGCUUACAUGGUCGUUAACUUCAGGGCCCGUGGGAUUAGUUGAAGUGCGCGCAAACUGGCCCGGACAUCCACAUUAAACUAAAAAAAAAAAAAGAAUCAUGCUUGGUUAAUUCUGAGGGGUGUAACUCAAUUAGUUAGAUUAUGAGUUUGCUCUCCAAAUAUUAUUAAUUCGAGUGCCACAAAUCUCAAGGCCAUUAAAAAUUUACCUGGUCGUUAAGUACUUUGAAGCUCCAAAAAAAUUAGUCAGGAUGCAUGUAUGUUGGCUCGAACACCCAUGAUUAUAUAUAAAAAAAACAUGUUUGAUCAUUUCUUGAUAGAUCACAUACAAUAAAGAAUCAUGUUAUAUCUAGAAAUUAAUUUCACAUCAAUUUUACGUUUCCUUUAAUUUGAAUAGACUAACAUUUUAUCUUAUAAAAAGUACUUUUAUCAAAGUAGCAAACGUACAAUCAACAAGUUUUAUUUUCAACAAUAUAAAAGUUCACAAAUUACAGUAGGGGCCACAAGAUUAUAAUCAUACGGUUUUUAUUUCAGAAAUUAUGAAUCCAAAUUUCUUUGUAAGUUCCUGCUACUCCUACUGUCCCAUAGUCCUCACUGGAUUGUUUUAUUGUUUUGCAACUUAAUAAUCAAACAUACCAUGUUAAGAUAGAGGAGAUGUACUGAUGCGAACCCUAGUGAAAUUUAAUGGAAUUCACGAUCCUAAGAUCAAUCUAAUCAAAGUUUAUUGAGAUUUGAAUGAGCUUAUCACAAUGUAAGACACAAUGGAAGACUUGCUCCAAGGCAACAAGACUAUAAACCAACUCGAUCACAACGCCUACACCUAGAGACAAGCAAAGAAAGUAUAAAUUCACAACGAAGAAUGGUCAAUUUUUUGAAGAGUUGAAAGUUCAAUCAAGAACCAAGAUUGAGCAACCAAAAGUCGGCUAUGAUGCUGAAAAUAUCAUAAAAAGUCUGUCCUAAAAUUAUUUCUAAAGAGUAUUUAAACUCCAAGCCAAAACCCUAGUUUUUCUAAUGAGUCUCACAUAAGCUCAAUUUAAAUAAUAAUCAACCCAAGCUAAAACUAGCCCAAACUAAUUAAAAUUAAAAAAAUAAACAAGUCUAAGACCCAAAUAAAAUGUCUUCUCUCAAAAUAAAUAAAGUUUGAUAGUCUAACUAAUUAAAUAAGACAAGUUCGUUGUUUCCGCAUUCUGUCUAGCAGCAGCAAAAGCUCAACUUAAAACGGAUGGUUCUCUCUCGUUUUAAUGAAUUAGAAAGAGUUUCAUAUACCGUUGGAAAGGUAUGGAAGUCUAGUUUCCAGCUCAACUAGAACCACAUCACAAUUUGAUCUGUAGCUCUAGUUAUGACCAAAAGAGUAACGAAAUGUGAAACUGUCCGAAUCUAGUCUUCUUCUCCCAAUCCUUGUGUAAUGCUCUUGGUUCCACUACGAAGCCCUUUUUGAACAUGAAUCAGAUUAAUCAAGGCUUGCUCUUUUUUAUUAAAAAUCCUCUUAAGUUCAUUGAAAGCUUCUUUGAACUUCUUAGCCCUAAGCCUAGUAAUUGGACCAACUGGAACCUCCAAUGGAUCGUUUGAUGGUUGGAUCGCAUCAUGGACCAUUUACAUUACCCAAUUGCUGGCUCUAUUUCAUAUAUUGGAAUCUACAGCAGUCUAUCAACAUGCACAAGGAAAACAUAACACACAUCAAGGCUGCAGAGAAAGGCAAGCCUGCAGAAGAACCGUCUAUAGAAGACUAGAGAUCAGCCAUUCUGUUUUUAUUCUGUUUUCUCUGUAUAUAUGUAAUUGCAGUUACAAAAUUAGUUAUAACUGUUAAGUUAGUUGAGAAAGUUAGUUAUAAUAUGUGUAUAAAUAUGUAUUCAUGUACUCUGAGAAAGAUAAGAAAAAUAUAUAGAAAAAUGCUGCAUGCAGAUUCUUCAAACGUAUAGAAUUCUUCUUCUUCCUUCCAAGAAUUCAUUCCCUUCUGUUUUCUAUUUUCUACCUUUUUCACAUUCCUUGCCCAGAUUUCUACAUGGUAUCAGAGCGAAAUUGCUGAAAAAUCAAUUUUUUUUCUUCAUCAUCAACAGAAAAAUUCAAAGAUUCUUGAGGUCUAAAACCUUUCUUCCAUCAUCUUCUUGUUUCUUUCAAAAACCUCAAAAUGACUGAUCAUCUUGAAGAAAAUGCUUCUACGGCACAUAAUGCUUCAUUCAAUACCACUACUCUGAAUCUUUCUGACGAUUCUUCCAGCUGCUACUACCUGCACCCUUCUGAUAACCCUGGUGCACUUCUUGUUUCUGAAAUUUUUACUGGUGAAAAUUAUAUUGCAUGGAGUAGAUCCAUGACAAUUGCCUUAACAGUAAAGAACAAGAUUGCCUUCAUUGAUGGUUCUUUGGUUCAACCAAUCACCACCAAUCAAUCUCUUCGUGUGGCAUGGCUAAGAUCAAAUAAUCUGGUUUUGUCAUGGCUGAUGAAUUCCAUUGCUAAAGAUAUUCGCAGCAGUGUUCUUUAUUUCACAACAGCCUUCGACAUUUGGGAAGAAUUACGAGUUAGAUACCUGAGAAGUGAUGGACCAAGAGUCUUCAGUUUGGAGAAAUCUUUAAGUUCCAUUUCUCAGAACUCAAAAUCUGUCACAGAAUAUUUCAGUGAAUUCAAAGCUCUAUGGGAUGAAUACAUCAGUUAUCGUCCAAUCCCAAACUGCAAAUGUGGAAAUCUUGAUUCAUGCUCAUGCAACAUUCUAAAGCACCUAACAGAUCGACAACAAUCAGAUUAUGUUAUGAAAUUUCUGGUAGGACUCCAUGAUUCUUACUCAGCAGUAAGAAGCCAGUUAUUACUCCAAACUCCUUUGCCAUCUAUGGGCAGAGUUUUUUCUUUACUUCUGCAAGAAGAGAGUCAGAGGUCCCUGACAAAUGCGGUAGGAAUUCCCAUUGACUCAUAAGCAAUGGUUGCUGAACAAUACCAUAAUCCAAACUCCAGAUCAGGUUCAACAUAUGCUACACGUUUUGCUAAACAAAAAGGCAAAACUGAGGCAACCUGCUCCCACUAUGGAUAUCCAGGACAUCUUGUUGAUAAAUGUUUCCAGAUUAUUGGAUAUCCUCCUGGAUGGAAGGGGCCAAGAGGGAAAAGAUUUGCUACCAUGCCGCAUGCCAACAGAAAUCUUCAAAAGCUACCCACUGCAUAUAAUACUGCUGUCUUGGAGCAACAUCUUGACACUCCCAACAUUGUUUUCUCUCAAGAGCAAAUACAGAAUCUACUCACUCAUGCAAAUAGCAUUUCUAACUCAAAGCUAAACAACAUUACUCAGGAAGUAUCUACAUCAGGUAUAUCUUUUUCAUGUCAUACCAUUUCUUCACCGCAGAACAAAUUUACUUGGAUCCUUGAUACAGGAGCAACAGACCACAUGAUCUGUAGCCCCCUUCUUUUUGAAUCCAUUAUUCUGCCUAAAACUCAGUCCAAAGUUCAUCUGCCAAAUGGUGAAACUGUACCUAUUGUUUUCACUGGGACGGUUAAAUUCUCUCCUGACAUCAUUUUACACAAAGCCCUUUAUGUUCCAUCUUUUAAUAUCAAUCUUAUUUCUGUUUCAAGAUUAACUGCUGAUAACACUGUUGGCUUGUUUUUUCUUCACACGAAAUGUAUCUUGCAGGAUUUAAGCACAUGGAGGAUGAUUGGGCUUGCUGAAGCUGAAUCUGGCCUAUACCAUCUUCACAAACCUCCUAAUCAAUCUACCAAAUGCUUACCUCCUAGAUCAUUGAUCAAGUCAUGUACUGUUACCACUAAUCUUUGGCAUUUACGUUUAGGCCACAUUCCUACUUCCAAAACCAUUCUUCUGAGCAAAAUCGAUCCUUCAAUAACCAUUACCAGCAAUUCUGUUUGUGAAAUUUGCCCCUUAGCUAAACAAAAACGGCUGCCCUUUUCCUUGUCUAUGAAUAAAUCCAUGCAGGCUUUUCACUUAAUUCAUAUUGACAUUUGGGGACCCUUCUCUGUUACUUCACAUUCUGGUUAUCAGUAUUUCCUUACCAUUGUAGACGAUUACAGUAGAUUCACUUGGUUAUUUUUAAUGAAAUCAAAAUCUGAAACUAGAAGUCUUCUUAGCAACUUCCUAGCCUAUGUCCAUACUCAAUUCCACACCAAGAUUAAGACUCUCAGAUCAGACAAUGGACAAGAUUUUAAUAUGCCUACCUUUUAUCAAGAACAUGGCAUCAUUCAUCAAUUAACUUGCAUUGAAACACCUGAACAGAAUGGAAGGGUUGAAAGGAAACAUCAACACCUACUAAAUGUAGCUAGAUCUCUGAUGUUUCAAUCCAAACUACCAUUGACUUACUGGACGGAUUGCAUUCUCACAGCCACUCACCUAAUCAAUCGCACUCCUUCAGUCACUCUCCAGAAUCAAACACCAUAUCAGGUUCUUUUUAACAAACCACCGACUUACAAUCACCUCAGGGUGUUCGGUUGUUUAUGUUUUGCUAGCACACUCACACACAACAGAGGCAAAUUUCAACCACGAGCAAAGAAAUGCAUAUUUCUUGGGUAUCCUCCCCACACUAAAGGUUACAAAGUGCUAGACUUGUCAACAUGCAAAACCUUUGUGUCUCGCAAUGUUGUUUUUUAUGAAUCCACAUUCCCAUCCAUUCCAAACACAGUCCAUACACCCCUUGUGUUCCCUGAUUAUCCUCAAAAUUUUGAUUCUUUAGCUUGUAUACCACCCCAGUCCACUACUAACAAUUCUGUUACUCCUGCAACCUUGCCUUUACAAACUUCUGUUCCUCCCUUAACUCACAACAAUGUUUCACAACCCAGAAGGUCUGAAAGGACUAAACAUCCACCCAAUUACUUAAAGCAAUAUUACUGUGGAAAUAUGGCUCAGAUUCCUUCAGCAGCUCCAAGCUCUUCUGAUUGCUCCCUUUCUGGUAAGCCAUACUCGAUCUUCUCUUUCUUAUCUCAUUCCAAAUUAUCUUUACAACAAUGUGCUUUCACUUCUUUUGUUUCCUCUGUUUUUGAACCAAAAACUUACAAACAAGCUAGCUCUAUUCCUCAUUGGCAACAUGCUAUGACUAAUGAAAUUAUCGCUCUUGAGCAAAACCAAACUUGGGAUUUAGUCCUUCUGCCUCAGAAUAAAUCUGCCAUUGGAUGUAAGUGGGUAUACAAAGUGAAGUUCCAAGCUGAUGGACAGGUUGAACGUUACAAGGCCAGAUUGGUAGCUAAGGGAUACACACAACAAGAGGGAAUCGAUUUCUUUGACACUUAUUCUCCUGUUGCUAAAAUAACAACAAUCAGAGUUCUUCUCACUAUAGCUGCUGUCAACAAUUGGCAUUUACAUCAACUUGAUGUGGACAAUGCUUUCUUGCAUGGCGACUUACAUGAGGAAGUAUAUAUGCAAUUGCCACCUGGUUACUCCAAUCCUAAUGAUCCUCGAGUCUGCAAGCUCAAAAAGAGCAUCUAUGGCUUGAAACAAGCUUCCAGACAAUGGUUCUCCAAGCUAUCUACCUCUCUAUUACAGUUUGGAUUUUUACAAGCAAAAUCAGAUUCCAGCCUCUUCAUCAGAAAAACCCCCAACGACUUCAUCGCAGUGUUAAUCUAUGUUGAUGAUGUAAUCAUUGCUUCCAACACUCUUACAGCAAUCAACAAAGUUAAACAGUACCUUCGCACGACCUUUCCUAUCAAAGAUUUGGGAAAGCUGAAGUAUUUUCUAGGCAUUGAGGUUGCUAGAUCUUCCAAAGGCAUUGUUCUUUGUCAGAGAAAGUAUGCCUUAGAUAUACUAGCAGACAGUGGAUUUUCUGGAGCUAAACCUGUCAGUUUUCCUAUGGAAUCCACACUGAAACUUAGUGCCCAUGAUACUAGCCCUCCCUUGUCCGAUCCUGCAUCUUAUCGUAGAUUAAUUGGCAGACUCCUCUAUCUCACACUCACACGCCCAGACUUAUCCUAUGCCAUCCAAACACUUAGCCAGUUCAUGUCCAAUCCUCACACAAUGCAUCUGCAAGCUGCAGAGAGAGUCCUUCGGUAUCUUAAAGCAACACCAGGUCAAGGAUUACUUCUCAAAGUUGAUUCUACCUUCCAUUUAAAAGCUUAUUCUGACAGUGAUUGGGGAGGUUGCAUUGAUACUAGAAGAAGUGUCACUGGAUAUUUAGUUUUUCUUGGCGAUUCACUCAUUUCCUGGAAGUCCAAGAAACAACCUACUGUCAGUAGGUCCUCAGCAGAAGCUGAAUAUCGAGCUUUGGCAACUACAUCGUGUGAACUUCAAUGGCUGAUUUAUUUGUUGGCCGAUUUCCACAUACCACACUCUCAGCCUGCCUUACUAUACACUGACAGCAAACCUGCUUCAGAAAUUGCCUCAAAUCCGAUCCAUCAUGAACGCACUAAACAUAUACAACUUGACUGUCAUCUUGUCCGCAAAAAAUUGUAGGAGGGAUUGCUUAACAUCAUUCACAUCCCUUCCAGAUUUCAAUUAAAUGACGCCCUCACCAAACCACUUGGUUAUCUCACGCUUCACCCUAUCCUUAGCAAGAUGGGAAUGGUAAAUAUUCAUUCUCAUCUUGAGGGGGGAUAUUGGAAUCUACAGCAGUCUAUCAACAUGCACAAGGAAAACAUAACACACAUCAAGGCUGCAGAGAAAGGCAAGCCUGCAGAAGAACCAACGUCUAUAGAAGACUAGAGAUCAGUCAUUCUGUUUUUAUUCUGUUUUCUCUGUAUAUAUGUAAUUGCAGUUACAAAAUUAGUUAUAACUGUUAAGUUAGUUGAGAAAGUUAGUUAUAAUAUGUGUAUAAAUAUGUAUUCAUGUACUCUGAGAAAGAUAAGAAAAAUAUAUAGAAAAAUGCUGCAUGCAGAUUCUUCAAACGUAUAGUUCCUUCCAAGAAUUCAUUCCCUUCUGUUUUCUAUUUUCUACCUUUUUCACAUUCCUUGCCCAGAUUUCUACAUCAUAGACCAUGGAUGACUUCCUUACAUCUCUAGAGCAAGGGGAUGGGGAUGAUGACGAAGACUCGGUUGAUGUGGACAUCUAUGGUGAUGGGGAAGAAGAUGUUGCAGAUUAUCGUACGUGUGCGGGGUCAUAGUGAAAUGCAUCCAUUACACAUUGCUAUUGUCAAGCAGAGAAAAAUUAAAGUUAGCCUACACCUCUAACAGCUUUAGUUUAGGAUCAUCUUGGUAUGCUUCUUUAUUAUAUGUAUGAAUAACUUAUUAUCCAUUACACAUUACUAUUAUCAAAGAAUUACUAUAAACUUAAAAGUUUAACGUUUUAAUAAUAAUUUUAUAUUAAUUACUAAUACAUCUUUUGAAGUAAACAUUUAAUUUAAUUUUGUUUUAUAUUAAAUUUGAUUGACAUUGACAAAAUUUAUGGUCAAGUCUCCGUGUUCAGAAUCAUUUUUUUGCCUCGUCAAGCAGAGAAAGAUUAAUAAAAGCUAAAGCAUCAGUACGAAGGCCACAAGCUACAUUUCUUGGGUCCAAACGGAAUGUGAACAUUGAGAAGUAAUAAAGGUAAUGCCUUAUUAAAUGAAAGACUUUACAUGGUUUUGUGUCUUUUCUAUGCCCAGCUAGCGGCUCUGCUAAAUGAUUUGAUACGUCAUGAAAUGAAUUGAUUUUGUGACGUUAUCAGAAAAAUAAUAAUGUAUAUGAUUGAACCCAUGGAAUCUUUAAAAUUUAAGGUCAAGUCUUUGUUCAUGUAAUUCAGCAUCUUUUGUUAAUCUUUUGCAUUUAAUAAAGCUAAAGCAUCAGUAUGAAGGCCAAAAGCUGAUAGCUUACCCUCCAUUUCUUGGGUCCAAUCAGAAAGUGAACAUUGAGAAGUAAAAAUGCACUUUAAAAUUUAUGGUCAAGUCUUUGUUCACGUAAUUCAGCUUCUUUUGUUAACAUUAUGUCGAUCUUUUGCAUUGUCAAGCAGAUAAAAAUUAAUAAAGCUAAAGCACCACCACAAGUUGAUAGAUUACUUUGUUUGAUUGGUAAUGUACUUAGGUGUUGUUUAAACUAUAUUUUAUUUUAAACAAAAAUUAAUAUAGCCUUCUGCGCUUGUAAUAGCUCAACCAUUUUGUAUUCAGAAUAUAUUAUUUAUGCUAUUCUCACAUGAAAUGUCUUGGCUGUGAAAUUUUUUAAAAUAGAACAAUAUACAGUUAGAGUAAAAUUGUGUACAUUAUAAUAUUUGAACAGCAUAUUUUCAUGAUUAUUAUACAAUCGUUAAGGAACACGGUUUUUAAGAUGGAAAGGAGAUCAUUUUAUUAAUUAGCAAUGCAAUAAUAGUUUUUUCAACAAUAUAAAAGUUCACAAAUUACAGUAGGUGCCAAAAGAUUAUAAAUCCAAAUUUCUCUGCAAGUUCCUGCUGCUCCUACUGUCCCGUAGUCCUCACUGGAUUGCUUUUGUUGUUUUGCAACUCAAUAAUCAAACAUAUCAUGUUAUGUUAAGAUAGAGGAGAUGAACCAUUUACAUUUACCCAAUUGCUGGUAAAGAGCAUUCUGUCAAGUAAUAAUUUGUGUUCAUGUUAAGCAUCUUUUGUUUCCAUUGUCGCGUAAUAAUAAUAACCACCGUCAGUCCAGGUAAAGAGCAUUCUGUCGAGUAAUAAUUAAAAAUUUACUUGAUUUUCUUUUAAAUUUCAAAAAAUUCAAAAAAAAAUUAAAAAACAUUUAUUUCAAAAAUACAAAAAUAUUUUUUUUCCCGUGCAUAUGGUUAGAUUUUAAAAUUUGUGUCGCACGUCAAAAAAAAUCAGCGCGGCGUCGGCUGGCAAUUUUUCAUUUGUUGUUUUGCUUUGAUUGGUUCGUUGGAGUCGCCACCUAGUAUUUAAUUGAAGGCUACUAGAAAACCCGGAUACUGGUCUUAUCAGAGAUUCACAGGUAAGGGACUGGUUGUGGUUAGGGAAGGUGUUAGCACCCCUAACGCACCCUACCUGAGGUAAGCUGCUUCGUGGACUUGAUGUGAUUUAAAAAAUAAAAUUUUAGCCCAAUUCUAAGGCUUUGAUAAAUCAGUUAUUAGUUCCCAAAAUAUAUGUAGAUACAUGUUCUACAUUUUUAUGGAAAAUACAACAUGAUUUUUAUCUGUCCUUUAGAUAUUUGAGCAUAUAAAUUAAAAUAUUAAAUUCAUUUUUUAUCUCAAUAACAUACAUAAAAAAAAACACAUAUACACCUUCACUAUAUUUUUUCUUUUCUUUUCUUUUUCUUUCUUUUUUUGUUACAUCAACAUUACAAAUUAUAAAAAUUCAAUACUAAAAAUUAAAAUUACAUCAAACAAUUUAAAAUUACAAAACAACCCCUAAAACAGAAUCAGGAACAGUGUAGCCACGGGUGAACAGUGUCGGAGGCUUCUGGGCGCCGGAAUAGUGGCGGCGCGUGGGCCUCACGCGCCACCGCCGGUGAAGACCAGCAAGCUGGUAGAUCUGGAUCGUCUCCUUCUUCUCUUCCUGUUCGUACCGGCGGUGCAUCUCCCAGUCACCUGCAAAGCAUCCCAACAACACAAGCAGUAUUUCACUUUCGUUUUCCUUUUUCUUUUAGAUCUGCCAUCAUCUCCCUUCGUUAAUGCUUUCUUAUUCUGGGUUCAACGUCGCCAUUGCUUGUUGCCGUUUGGAUGGUUGCAGAUCGGAGAAGUUGUCGUGGCUGGUGGCGCGUCGGCGCACGCGAUGAGGAGACUCGGGGAGAUCAACUCAAGGGACUGACCGCUGCUACUGGCUGAGGGAGCGGUUCAGUGGUUCAUCUGCAGGCCGUCCCUGGCCACUGCCGUGCGUGGGGGAGGAGCUGCUACGGGGCCGGGAGAAGACUAGGAAGAAGACAGCGGGAGCUGACGCCGUGUUCGGUCUGAGGAAGAAAGGAACGGCGGCCGGUCUCUGUUGGGUGGAGCUGGAGACCGUGAGAAGGAAAUGGAAGGCUUCUGUGCAGAGGGCAGGUCUUGGCUGCCGCUGUUGGAGGUUGAUGUGGGUGUGGCCUUGGCUGGUUUUUUUUGAGAGGGAGCUGCUGCGGGGCUGCCUUGGGUGAGGUAGAUGAGAGUUUGGUGCUGAGUGCAGCCGAGAAAGGGAAGUGGAUGGCUGCUUCAACAGGGAACAAGGGACCCCUGUGUGGCUUCCGGUUUUGGGAGCCAAAAAUCCCAAUGACAGGGUGGCGGCCAGAAAUGAAGAGAUGCCAUGUGCGGGGUCUGCUGGCCGGGGCUGAGAGGGAUUCUGGUGAGGGGAUGUGGAUGUGGGUGCUGUCAGCUGAAAAUGAUAGGAAAUCGGGGAAGAUCGGCGUUGUGGGUGCAGGGGAGAAGGAAGAGGGACUGGGGAGCCGUGGGCCCCUGCCCACGGCUGUGUGGAAGAAGAAAAAAUGGAAAAAUCCCCCUCUCCCCUUUGUAGCUGGGGAUGAGCAGAAAUAGGGGUUCUCCUCGUGAGGAGGGGCCUUCAUUGUCGGCUGGAAACAAGGAAAAGAAGACCCUGGGUGGGGGCUGAGUCCCUGAUUUUCAGCCGAAAGAGAGGGAUCAAAUGGUCUUGGGCCAGGGGGAGUGGCUAGUUUCGGGUGAAGAAAAAAGUUUUUUUUAGGUUUUCUUUUUUUUGUGUUGCCUCCCCCUCCAAUAUUCAAAAUUCCCUAUGCAUAGGCAAAAUAUUGUUUGAGCCUCAAAAUUGAUUUCUCACUUUUCUUUUCUUUUUAAAUUUGAUUUUCUUUAAUUUUUUUGUAUUUUUGAAAAUAAGCAAUAUCAACGUCGACUCAAUGAGGAAAAUCAAUGAUUUUAAAAUUAACGCGUUCAAAGUUGAACGCGUUCGAAAGACCUUUGAAAAUUUAAAUUCUUUUUAGACGACGCUGCAAAUGCUAAAAACGAUGCAAAUGUAUUUUUUGGGUUUUCAAUGCUUUUCACUAUUUUUGGAUUUUUUCUGAAAAUUUAUUAAAACAUGGGUCAAAAUUGGGUAGCAACAAUUUGCAUGCAUGCUUUUAUACGAAAAAAAAAAAUUACAUCUUCAUCGUACUUUAAAAAAUCAUUUAAUGGAUAUCACAACAAGUUUACGAAUAUCCAUUAUGAUUUAACUAAAAUUUCAAAUAAAAACCUUUUUUAUUUUCUUUCAUAUUAGGAUAGUUAGGCUUUAAAAUGGUUAUGUUUCAACUUGAUGAGAUAAGAAUCUUUUUAAUGAGAAAAACGUUUCUCUAAACUUUGGAAAGAUUAACGAAUAAAAACACGACUUAAAACAAAUAACAAAGCAGCUUACUAUAAGUAAGGUGAAUUAGGAGAGAUGCAUCUUUCAUUUACACAAUCAAUCCCCUUACCCAGACUCUCAUUGACUAUUAGGUUUUCUAGUGACCAUAAUAUUAGGUUAUGACUCCUUUUUCUUUUCUUUUUUAUUGAUAAAAGAUAAGAAUUUCUUGUAUUUUCCGCACUAAUUACCCAUUACACAUUGCUAUUUUCAAAGAAUCACUAUAAACUUAAAAGUUUAAAGUUUUAAUAAUAAUUUUAUAUUAUUGGAUAAUGCAUCUUUUCAAGUGAACAUUUAAUUUAAUUUUGUUUUGUAUUAAAUUUUUUUAUUGAAUUGAUUUUUUAAUAUUAACAAAAUAAUAAUAAUAAUAAUAAUGUAAAUGAUUGGAACCAUGGAAUCUGAAGUAAUAAUGCAUCUUUAAAAUUUAUGGUCAUGUCUUUGUUCGUGUUCAGCAUCUUUUGCUUCCAUUCUGUCGAUCUUUUGUUUCCAUUAUGUCGAUCUUUUCCAUUGUCGAGCAGAGAAAGAUUAAUAAAGCUAAAGCACCAGUAUGAAGGCCAAAAGCUGAUAGCUUACCCUCCAUUUCUUGGGUCCAAUCAGAAAGUGAACAUUGAGAAGAAAUAAUGCAUCUUUAAAAUUUAUGGUCAAGUCUUUGUCCAUGUUCAGCACAAAAACCAUUAAUUAGCAAUGUAACAAUAAUUUUAUUUUAAUCAUAUAACAAUACAUUACGGAACAGUUGAUUGAUUGUACUUACAAUAUAACACAACAAAUCAUAGAGUACAACAAAUCAUAGAGUAUGGUGUAGCAACGUGUACUUACUUAACCACGUAUACAAUCACGAAUCAUGUUUGAUCAAUUCUAGAAAGUGUAACUCAGCUGGUUAGAUUAUAAGUUUGUUUUUUAAAUAUCAUUAGUUCGAGUGCCAUAAACCUCAGAGCCAUUAGAAACUUAUCUAAUUAUUAAGUAUUUUAAAGCUCUAAAAAAUUAGUCAGGAUGCGUGUAUAUUGGCUCGAACACCCAUAGUUAUAUAAAAAAAAAACAUGUUUGGUCAUUUCUUGAUAGAUCACAUGCAAUAAAGAAUCAUGUUAUAUCUAGAAAUUAAUUUCACAUCAAUUUUACUUUUCCUUUAAUUUGAAUAGACUAACAUUUUAUCUUCUAAAAAGUACUUUAUCAAAGUAGCAAACGUACAAUCAACAAGUUUUAUUUUCAACAAUAUAGAAGUUCACAAAUUACAGUAGGGGCCACAAGAUUAUAAUCAUACGGUUUUUAUUUCAGAAAUUAUGAAUCCAAAUUUCUUUGUAAGUUCCUGCUACUCCUACUGUCCCAUAGUCCUCACUUACUCCUACUGUCCCAUAGUCCUCACUGGAUUGUUUUAUUGCUUUGCAACUUAAUAAUCAAACAUACCAUGUUAAGAUAGAGGAGAUGGACUGAUGCGAACCCUAGUGAAAUUUAGUAGAAUUCACGACUCCAAGAUUAAUCUAAUCCAAAUUUGUUGAGAUUUGAAUGAGCUUAUCAUAAUGGAAGACACAAUGGAAGACUUGCUCCAAGGCAACAAGACUAUAAACCAACUCGAUCACAACGCCUACAUCUAGAGACGAGAAAAGAAAGUAUAAAUUCACAACGAAUAAUGGUCAAUUCUUUGAAGAGUUGAAAGUUCAAUCAAGAACCAAGAUUGAGCAACCAAAAGUCGGCUAUGAUGCUGAAAAUAUCAUAAAAAGUCUGUCCUAAAAUUAUUCAUAAAGAGUAUUUAAACUCCAAACCAAAAUCCUAGUGUCUCACAUAAGCUCAAUUUAAAUAAUAAUCAACCCAAACUAAAACUAGCUCAAACUAAUUAAAAAAUAAAAAAUAAACAAGUCUAAUACCCAAAUAAAAUGUCUUCUCUCAAAAUAAAUAAAGUUUGAUAGCCCAACUAAUUAAAUAAGACAAGUUCGUUGUUUCCGCAUUUUGUCUAGCAGCAGCAAAAGCUCAACUUAAAACGGAUGGUUCUCUCUCGUUUUAAUGAAUUAGAAGGAGUUUCAUAUACCGUUGGAAAGGUAUGGAAGUCUAGCUUCCAGCUCAACUAGAAUCACAUCAAAAUUCGAUUUGUAGCUCCAGUUAUGACUAAAAGAGUAACGAAAGGUGAAACUGUCCCAAUCUAGUCUUCUUCUCCUAAUCCUUGUGUAAUGCUCUUGGUUCCAUCAACAAGCCCCUCUUGAACAUGAAUCAAAUUAAUUAAGGCUUGCUCUUUAUUAUUAAAAAUCAUCUUGAAGUCCAUUGAAAGCUUCUUUGAACUUCUUAGCCCUAAACCUAGUAACUGGACCAACUGGAACCUCCAAUGGAUCGUUAGAUGGUUGGAUCGCAUCAUGGACCAUUUACAUUAUCCAAUUGCUGGCUCUAUUUCAUAGACCAUGGAUGAUUUCCUUACAUCUCUAGAGCGAGGGGAUGGGGAUGAUGAGGAAGACUCGGUUGAUAUGGCCGAUGAUGUGGACAUCUAUGGUGAUGGGGAAGAAGACGUUGCAGAUUAUUGUACGUGUGCGGUGUGGUGUCAUAGUGAAAUGCAUCCAUUACACAUUGCUAUUGUCAAGCAGAGAAAAAUUAAAGUUAACCUACACCUCUAACAGCUUUAGUUUAGGAUCAUCUUGGUAUGCUUCUUUAUUAUAUGUAUGAAUAACUUAUUAUCCAUUACACAUUACUAUUAUCAAAGAAUUACUAUAUAUAAACUUAAAAGUUUAACGUUUUAAUAAUAAUUUUAUAUUAUUUACUAAUACAUCUUUUGAAGUAAACAUUUAAUUUAAUUUUGUUUUAUAUUAAAUUUGAUUGACAUUGACAAAAUUUAUGGUCAAGUCUCCGUGUUCAGAAUCAUUUUUUUGCCUCGUCAAGCAGAGAAAGAUUAAUAAAAGCUAAAGCAUCAGUACGAAGGCCACAAGCUACAUUUCUUGGGUCCAAACGGAAUGUGAACAUUGAGAAGUAAUAAAGGUAAUGCCUUAUUAAAUGAAAGACUUUACAUGGUUUUCUGUCUUUUCUAUGCCCAGCAAGCGGCUCUGCUAAAUGAUUUGAUACGUCAUGAAAUGAAUUGAUUUUGUGACGUUAUAAGAAAAAUAAUAAUGUAUAUGAUUGAACCCAUGGAAUCUUUAAAAUUUAUGGUCAAGUCUUUGUUCAUGCAAUUCAGCAUCUUUUAUUAAUCUUUUGCAUUUAAUAAAGUUAAAGCAUCAGUAUGAAGGCCAAACGCUGAUAGCUUACCCUCCAUUUCUUGGGUCCAAUCACAAAGCUAUUAAACUUGAUGUGCAUCACAUUUUAUGUGAGAUAUUGAAAAGAAAUAAGAGAAAGUUCACCUACUAAACUUGAUGUGCAUCAUACACACACACACACUUUAUAAUCUUAAAAUCUUCAAAUUUAACUAAUUUUUUUUUUAUGAAAAUGUUGUUAUAUAAAAGAAUAUAGUUAAUUUUAUGGUUUGUAUAGAAUAAUAGUUGUUGUAAGAAUAUGUUUUUAAUGUAAUUUCAAGCUAUGUUUUUAAUGAAAAACAAAGAUUAGUAAAAUUUAAAAUUAAUAAAAUACAAAUAGUUUAAAAUAUAGAAAUAACUUAUUUUGGAUUCUCUCUAUAUUAUUCCUUGACAUGAUUUUUAAGAGGUGAGAAUUACAGAAAGAAAAUAAUUAUUGUACUAAAAGUUUCUCAAUAUUGUUAGAACCUUAAAGAACCCAUACGUAUUAUAUUAGGAUAAGUGAAAUAUCAAAAUCUUUAUUUUAUUUUCCAUGCCCUUGCACAUGAUUACAAUUAUUUUCUUUUUAAAAAGUGAUUUUUGUUUUGAAUUCUAAUAAAUAAUUUUUUGAUACGUUCUCAUAUAUAAUUAAGUACAAGCUAUGGUUACAGAAUGUUUUGUCACGAAGAUAUGUUCUUUUUAAUACUAUGAAUAUUAAAUUGUUAAGAUUUGAGUAUAUUAAAGAAUUAUAUCCCAAUAAUAAUGAUUUUGGUACCAUAUAUGUUGAGUAUAGAGUUUCGGCCAAGGAUAAUAUUUUUAGGCAUGAUGGAUUUUUUGUUUAAGGAGAAUAGAUUAUGUGUGCCGAAUUGUUCUAUGCAUGAAUUACUUAUAAGGGGAGCUCAUGAAGGAGGUUUAAUGGGGCAUUUUGAAAUUGUUAAGACUUUAGAAGUUUUACAUGAAUAUUUUUAUUAGCCUAACAUGAAAAGAGAUGUGCAAAAAAUUUGUGAUAGAUUCAUAACUUGUAGACAAGCUAAGUAUAUAGUAAAGCCUUAUAUGUUAUAUACACCUUUACUUGUUCAUAAGAAACCUUGGGUUGAUAUUUAUAUGGAUUUUAUUUUGGGUUUACCUAGGUCUAGAAAAAAAAAGAGACUCCAUAUUUGUUACUAUAUAGAUAUAUUUUCUAAGAUGAUACAUUUCAUUGUUUGCUAUAAAACUAAUGAUGCAAUAAAUAUCAAGACCUUUUCUUUUGAGACGUCAUUCGGCUACAUGGUGUUUCUAGGAGCAUUGUGUUUGAUUGAGAUGUUAAGUUUUUUAGUUACUUUUGGAAGGUUUUGUCGGGUAAGUUAGGGACUAAACUUUUAUUUUCUACUACUUGUCACCCAUAAAUAGAUGGUCAAACUGAAGUUGUGAACAAGACUUUAACUCAAUUAUUAAGAGCUAUCAUUCAAAAGAAUCUUAAAAUUUAAGAGGAUUGUUUGCCUUUUAUUGAAUUUGCAUUUAAUCAUAGUGUGGAUUCUACAACUGAUUAUUCACCAUUUGAGAUUAUUUAUCAUUUUAAUCCUAUAACACAAUUGAAUUUGAUUCCUUUACCUAUUGAUGAAAGGGUUAGUCUUAAUGGUAAUAAAAAAGCAUAGGUAGUGAAGGACUUACAUGCAAAAAUUCAACAAUAGAUAGAGAAAAAAGAAUGAACAAUAUGCAUUCAAGGCUAAUAGAAGAUGAAAAUUAGUGAGGUUUGAACUAGGUGAUUAGGUUUGGGUGCAUAUGAGGAAGGGAAGGUUUCUCGAAUAAAGGACAUCUAAAUUAAUACCUCGAGGAGAUAGUCCUUUUCAGAUUAUAAAAUCGAUCUACCAAGUAGGUAUGGUGUUAAUGUUACAAUCAAUAUUGUUGAUCUCUCUUUCUUUGAUGUAGGUAAUGAUUCAAGAUCAAAUCCUUUUGAAGAGAGAGGAAAUGAUGUGAUCCAUGAACCACCAAAUGAUCCAUUGGAGGUUCCAAUUGAUCUAGUGACAAGGCUUAGGGUUAAAAGAUUCAAAGAGGCUUUCAAUUGACUUCUUUGAGAUACAUGAGUUAAGGUGGACUUCAAGAAGGUAAUAAAUAAUGAAGAGCAAGCCUUGAUUAAUCUGAUUCAUGUUCAAGAAGGACUUGUUUGUGGAACCAAGGCCAUAACUCAAGGAUUGGGAUACAAAGAAUCAAAUCAGACAAUUUGACAUUUCUUUACUAUUUUGAUCAUAACUGGAGCUCCAAGUCAUAUUUUGAUGCGAUUCUAGUUGGGCUGGAAACUAGAAUUCCAUACAUUUCCGAUGAUAAAAGGAACACAUUCUAAUUCAUCAAGACCAGAGAGAACUAUUCAUUUGAAGUUGGGUUUUGAAGCUACCAGCAGAUUAGGAGAAAAACCGACAUGGUCUUAUUUUAAUUAGUUGGGCUGUUGAUCUAUCUUUGUUUUGUGUGGCAACAUUUAUUUAAGUUUCAGAUUUGUUUAUUUUAAUUAAUUUGGGCUAGUUUUUAACUUUGUUUGGGUAUCAUUUAAAUUGGAUUUAUGUGUGACUCAUUAAGGAAACUAGGGUUACUUAGCUUUCUAGAAUAAGUACUCUUUCUUUGUGAACAAUAUUUAAAAAAAAAAAAGAUUUUUGCAAAAUAAAAAUAUUGUCUCUCUUGGUUCUUGAUUGAACUUCAACUCUUUAAAGAAUUGACAAAUCUUUACUAGUGAUUUUAUACUUCUGUUGCUCGUCUCCAUGUGUAGGCAUUAUGAUUAGGUGGUUUAUAGUCUUGUUACCUUAAAGCAAGUCUUUCAUUGUGAAAAGCUUAAUUUCAUACUCAAACUUGGGUUAGAUAGAUCUUGGGUUCGUGAAUUCUAUUAAGUUCAGCUAGGGUUCGCAUCAAUAUUAGGUGACGACUCCUAUUCUUUGGUUUCAUUGAUAAAGAAAAAUAAUUCCUUAUUCUUUUCACCCACACCCUUUCACGCUUAAUCUCAUUUUGAAAGAACGAUCGUCGCGACGCCGCACACGUGUAACAUAACAUAUGACUGAAUAGAUUUUUUUCUCUUAAUAUAAUAAAAAACAACAAUCAUAAGUGGUUACUUUUUAUUUUUAUUAGAAAAUAUAGAGUAAGCUAUUGAGUUGUGGCCUUCAUACUGAUGUUUUAGCUUUACUAAACUUUCCCUACUUGAUGCUGCAAAAGAUCGACAUCAUUGAAACAAAAGAUGCUGAAAAUGAACAAAGACUUGACCAUAAGUUUUAAAGAUGCAUUAUUACUUCUCAAUAUUUACAUUUCGCAGGUCCAGUCAUUUGGACCCAAGAAAUAUAGAGUUAGCUAUCAACUUGUGGCCUUCGUACUGAUUCUUUACCAAGGCAUUACCUUUAUUGAAAAAAGAAUAUAGGAGUAAAAAACAAUUCAAUUUUAGCCAUUAUUAAUGGUCAGGGUUGGUAUUAAUGGACUCUCAUGAUCAUGGGUUGAUAUGCAUUUGGAACACUACAAAUCAUCCUUCAUCCUUGUGAAGUCUCCGGACAUUCCUUUGCAAAAUGUUUAGCUUUCUACUACAUCGGUUUUUGCAUCAUUUAGUUGGUUUUUUUUUUAUUCAAUGAAGGAGUUUUAGUUGCGUUUGUUAGUUUAAUAUGCCCUAUAACUAAUUAGUUGAUUACACGUGACGUUAUUAUAUUCAUAUAAAUAUAUAUUUAUUAUUAAUAAAGGCUUAACUUAUCUUAAAUAUUUAUAUAAUAUUAAAUUAAUGAAUCUAGAGUAAAGAUAAAGUUCAUCAGACAAAAAUGUUUUGCAAAGAAAAUUAUAAAGUUGUUAUAUUUAUGAGAUUUUUAUUGCAUAAAAAAGAAUGGGAUUAUAAAUGCUCUAUUUUCUCCUUUAUAAGGCUGACAACAUGGAGACAAUUAGGAGGAGAGAAAUUUCUGAUUUUUCCACCAAAAUUUGAGAUAAGAACACCACAAUUUGUCAAGUCUAUACAAGUUCUAGAUUACUAGGUAGGGAAAACAUCAUUUAGAAAGGGAAUUAGUAAGAAACAAGUGGAGAAAUUGUGAGGGGAAGAGAGGGAGAGGGUCAGUUGGUAUGCAAAGAGGGAGGAGCUGAAAUUUUUCAACCGAUUAAGAAUCAAAAUCCAAAUUAUCAUCAGGUAAGGAAUCUUAAACCUAAUUAUAAAAACCAAUUUUAAUUCGAUGAGGAAUUGUGCACUAAUCUUGAAUUGAAAUUAGAGUUCUUGAGUAAAACUGGGGGAAAUGUAGAAUUGGGUGAAAUUGGGUUAAUUAAAGUACUGUAAAUUACUUUGAACAUGAAAUCAUAUGGAAAUAUCAAAGAAAAAUCAAUGGUUAAAGGAACAAGAGUGGCCAACCAUUAGGGGAAUGAAUGGGAGGAGAAGAAUUUAUAAUUUUCUUGAUAAAGUCCUUAUAAUGUGUUGUUAUAAUCUAAACAAUGACUAAAUAAGAUAAAUGAUUGCAUGAGAAGAAGAAGGGGACCCUUGGUUUCUUUAGGCCAUGUUUCGGCCAAGGCAAGAUUAAGAGGGGAGCGAGGUGUUUUGAGAUUUUAUAUGUUAAUAAUGGGUAAAUUAGGUGUGGUAGAAAGUUUAUUAACAAGUGAAGCAUGAUAAUUUUAUAGUAAGGGAAUUUUAUAAAUUGAAUGCAUGUGUUAUGUAAGGUAGAAAUGAGUUUAUUGGUUAUAAUGUAUAACAUAUGGCUUGACUUAGGAGGAGUUGCAGAAUGUAGGAAAAUAUGGAAUCCAAUAAUGCAUAUAUUUCUUGAAAUAGUUUUUGAUCACUUUACAUAAAAAGGGGCAAAUUAGCUUAAGUGAUCACUAGGAGGUCAUAUUUAGAAAGGUUACCAUGCCUAUAAUAUAUGUCGCACCCGACAUUGCGGCGAUCUUUAAAGUAUCUCCAAAUGAAAAUAGAACAGAUUUCUUGCAUCUUCUUUUUAUAUAGGGAAAGGUCUAAUUUAAAGAGUCACCACCUAAUAUUAUGACUAAGAACCCUAACUAGUCAACAGAGAUUUUAUGGUACAAGACUGGUUAUGCAAACAAAAAGAUAUUAUUACCCCUUAAAUGUCCUACCUGAGGCAGGCCGCGUUGUUAGUUUUGUCUUAAAUUGCUAAGGGUUUGUUUUGUUUUGUUUUUGAUGGUCUGCUUUUAUUCCCGACUUUGACGCUAGUGAAUAUUCAAUUACGGAUACUUCCAACUCUAGCAUUGAUAAAUAUUACGUAACUAAAGUAAGUGUUGCUACCCAAUUUUUGACAAAUUUUUGAAAAAAAAACCAAAAAUAACAAAAAAUAAUGAAAACCGCAAAAAACACAUUCUUGAUAUAUUUACAUCGUUUUUAGCAUUUUCAACGUUGUCUCAAAAAAAUUUAAAUUUCAAAAGUCUGUUAAACGUGUUCAACUUCUAACGUGUUAUUUUCAAAAAAUUAUUGAUUUUCCUUAUUGAAGCGACGUUGAUAUUGCUCGGUUUCAGAAAAAUCAAAAUAUAGAUGGUUAACCUAGCAUAUGGGAAAAAUGACUCUUUUUUCUAUAAAUAGAGAAGGAUAAAUUAGAGCAAGAGGGGGCAGAGAAAAAUUUGGAAAAAAAAGAGGAUAGGGGAACCUUAAAAAAUCUAUCUUCUCUACCAGCCGCUGCCCCACCCUCUCUUUUGAAAAAAUAGAGAGAACCAAAGGCAACCAAUCUUUCCCCCAUUUUCCAUAGACCUUCCCAUUUCCUCUCCUUCCCCCUUUGCCAUUUCAACACCUCCAACCUAAACCAGUGUCGUCUCCAGCUCCUUCUCCCCUCAACUACAGCCUCUCAUCUCCAUCACCAGGAGCCCCCAUUUCCCUCUACAACAGCCAAACUCCCUGUAAAUCCCGGGAAAAUCAAGGCUGGAUUAAAUUAAAGAAAAUAAACUAAACUAAAAAGAAAUUGGGGCAAAAUGAAUACACUUAAAGAAAAUGGGGCCUAAAUAAAAAUAAGAAUAAUUAUAGAGUAUAAAUACUCCUCUUCUCAUAAGAAAAAAAAAAGAUCUGCAGCUAUCAUAAAGAAAGAAAGAGGGAGUUUUUGUAUCCAUUUUUACAAAUCAAGAGAGAAACACAAAAAUUCCAAGAACCCAUCCAAGAUUAAGGAUUAUACGUAGAAUAAACACUGGUGGGCAAGGGAUUAACAAGAAAAUUUGAACAAGAAGAGAAGA
rnacentral:lncRNA from 1 species